rnacentral:rRNA from 1 species
AUGUACCAUGAUCAUUUGAAUAGUCUUGCUUAUAAAUUUAUUGGCGUCAAAGUAGAGCUUCAGGUUUAUGUGAUUGGCGGGGAUGGAACAAUGAGAGGAGCAGUGGUGAUAUUCGAAGAGUUUAAACGGUGUUGUUUGAGGAUAUCCAUUACAGGGAUCCCAAAAAACUUGGACAAUGACAUCGAAAUCAUAGACAAGGCAUUUGGGUUUCAAACUGCAGUGGAGAGUGCUCAGGAAGGGGCAUGCUGUCAUUGUUGUUGCUCAAGGCGCUGGCAGGAGUUGAUUCCCCGGAUUGAUGACCAGAAGCGAGAGCAGGAUGAGUAUGGCAACAUGUUGUUCCUUAGCACAAAUCCGAAAUCAAAAGAGGUAAGAAAUCGCUUCGGUCGGCGGCUGAGGAAACGCCUCUGUCACCCAGCUGAGGAACCGAGAAAGAAAGAAGGAGAUAGAGAGUCUCCGCUGGAUCCGCCCCCUGCCGCUUCAUAUUCAGCUCCUCACGGGCCACAAGCAUCGCUCUGCGUGGGCUGA